GCUAUCCUAAGAGCCUCAACGAAUCGACAAGCAUAGAAGAAAGGAUGCAAUGUACCAAACUGCCCCUCAAAACUGGCUAGAAAAGCCCACUCAUCUUGAAUAGGUACUGGCUCUGGUGGAUAUGGCAUAGGAAAACUAGAAGAAGGCCUCCCCUGCCGAUCUUGCAUUUCCACUCAUCAUUUCGGCUAUGGAUUUUGGAGUAGUGAGGAGAAAAUUACUGCAAAUUUUUCCAAGUGUUUUUGGCAAGAAGAGAGAGAUACUAUACCGGUAAUAGUGAAAUGGGAAAGAGGUUUGGUGUUGUCAAUUAUUACAUGUCAAAAUAUUCAACUUAAUGGUUCCUUUCUGCUGUUGAAAUUGCUUUAAGCAAAGUGAUUAGCGGAUGUGGUGGAAGAAUGUGAAAAUGGUUCCUCUCUUUUUCUCUUUGGACAGGUAAAAGAUGAUGCCUUGCUUUGAGAAUUUUUUUGACUGUUGUGGGAGUGAGGAAAAUUGAGAAGAACAAUGAUGGAUAGCUAUGGAUACAUCUAGUGGUACAGACAGAAUCAUAUUCCAUUGCCUGCUAACUUGCCUUUAAUGAGGUUAAAGUUCAAGAUAACUCUUGGCAUGAAUACGUAUAUUAAGUAGUUUUUUUUAUUGAAAAAAGAAAUUACUAUCCAAAUUUACAAUUGUUAGUAUGGGAAAAAACUAUUGCAUCUUUUGUUUUUCAUAGACUCCCAAGUUGGGAUUAGCGGUAGUAGUUUUACAUUAACAUCAUGAAUAUAAGAUAUCCUGGUUAGUCGAUCGGUAAGUUGAUCUGUAAUAAGUGUCUCAUGAAGUAUAUGACGAAUUCCAUGAAGUGCUUGAUCCCCUCGGCCCUACCAUAGGCGUACUUGCCAUGCGUGAGACAAAGGCACCACAUGUAUAUGAGAAAAUGUUUGGUGUAAAAAUCUCAGAUACCCUCAUCACCCGGAAAAAAAUCUAUAUAUAAAAAGGAAAGGAAAACCAUAUAUAUGCAGGAUGGAAUUGGAGCUCCUCAGUGCAAGUUAUCAAUUGGUGGACCGCUCAACUCUCCUCAAUUCACCAUCUCGUAGCUAUCAAUAUUUUCGACCUUUUGCAUGGGAUUCGCAAGGGAGAAGUGAUCAGAGUCGAGAACGUUUCCCCAUACACUGACCAAUCUGGUUGAUCGCGUUGCACCGAAGGCGAAACUUUGUUUUUUUUCUUCUCUCUCUUUUAGAUGAACUUCAAUUCUUGAAUGUAAAUUCUUGUUGGGGCUACUGUUUGUCUAUUUAAAGCCAAACCACACUAUUUCCAGCUUUUUCUUCCAUAAAGAUAGUUGAAAAAGAGUGACUUCGCAGCACAUGGUUUCCAUAUUGAUUCAAGAUGAUCAGUCCCCAUGCUUCAUCCCCCAAUGUAGGGCUGUGAGAAGCAGUGUUGUAACUCAGCUUGCAACAUUUCCUGCUUAAACAGAAAACACUGCUGUGGGACUCAUCCACUGAUUGUAGAGAAACUAUGCCCAACUGUUGCAUGCCAUGGUUUGUCGUUUGCUACUGUGGCCUUAAAGUGGGUAGUCUUGAGAAUAUUGAUGUGGGUAUUUCAAUCUUUGUUGCUUGGUAAAAGGGGGACCCGGGGACCUGUAGUGCAGGGGUGCACUACAAGCCAAGGGUUGUAAUGGGUGACCGUAAGAACUUCAGACUCGCGGCGAAUUUUGAAACGGACCAAAAUAUGUGCAAACAGGCAAAGAAGUGGCCGAGCAAGAGUAGCAAAGCAAACGAAUUGAUCAUAACCAUUGAUCAUGCUUGGUAAAAGGGGGAUAAGGGACCCUGCAGUGCACCCCUGCACUACAGGGUUGUAAUGGGUGACCAUAAGAACUUUAGACUUGCGGCAAAUUUUGAAACGGAUCAAAAUAUAUGCAAGCAGGUAAAGAAGUGGCUGAUCGAGCAGAGUAGCAAAGCAAACGAGUUGAAUAUAAC